UACGUAGGGCGCAAGCGUUGUCCGGAAUUAUUGGGCGUAAAGAGCUCGUAGGCGGUUUGUCGCGUCUGCUGUGAAAACCUAAGGCUCAACCUUGGGCUUGCAGUGGGUACGGGCAGACUAGAGUGCGGUAGGGGUGACUGGAAUUCCUGGUGUAGCGGUGGAAUGCGCAGAUAUCAGGGAGGAACACCGAUGGCGAAGGCAGGUCACUGGGCCGCAAC
rnacentral:rRNA from 1 species